UACGUAGGGUGCGAGCGUUGUCCGGAAUUACUGGGCGUAAAGAGCUCGUAGGUGGUUUGUCGCGUUGUUCGUGAAAACUCACAGCUCAACUGUGGGCGUGCGGGCGAUACGGGCAGACUGGAGUACUGCAGGGGAGACUGGAAUUCCUGGUGUAGCGGUGGAAUGCGCAGAUAUCAGGAGGAACACCGGUGGCGAAGGCGGCAUCCUGGACCGGCAUUGACGCUGAGGAGCGAAAGCCAGGGGAGCAAACGGG
rnacentral:rRNA from 1 species